UACGUAGGGCGCAAGCGUUAUCCGGCAUUAUUGGGCGUAAAGAGCUCGUAGGCGGUUUGUCGCGUCUGCCGUGAAGGUCCGGGGCUCAACUCCGGAUCUGCGGUGGGUACGGGCAGACUAGAGUGAUGUAGGGGAGACUGGAAUUCCUGGUGUAGCGGUGAAAUGCGCAGAUAUCAGGAGGAACACCGGUGGCGAAGGCGGCAUCCUGGACCGACACUGACGCUGAGGAGCGAAAGCCAGGGGAGCAAACGGG
rnacentral:rRNA from 1 species